rnacentral:lncRNA from 1 species
GUAAUACGGCUGCCUGCGGAACCGGCUGACCGGAAGUGUGGCUGUGGGUGGUUUACCGCCAGACUGUGAUGGUGGCGGGGCACGGCUGCGUGACUGGUGAGUUGGUGAGGACGGGGCAGUGGACUGGGAGCAAGGCAGGCCCUGCCAGGGGGACUGACAGGCUCCAAGGUGAUCUUCCUAGGAAUGUCCACAGAGUGUGGGACCUGGCCUUGGCUGGGUUGGGUCCAUUGUGUGGCUGCAAUAUAAUCAAGUGGAGGACAGCUGUGAUGAGACUGGGGGAUGCUGCUGUUGGGGGAGUGUGCCCAGACCCCAGGGCAGCAAGGCCAGCUCUAGUCACACGGAUUAAUCAGGCAAGGCCCCUCAUCUGCUGUUGAACAUGGGCGCGUGGAAGCACCGGCUUAGGAACAGGCUGGCGCCGAGACGGAUGCUUGAACGCUUCUAUGGAGGCUGGAGGGCUGGGCUGGGGACGGCAAGGGCCCGGGUGCUGAGCUGAGCACUGACAGGCUUUGCUUCCCUUUGUGUUUUCUCACUUCUGUGCGCGUUAGGCGGGGUCCGGGCAUUUACCUUGUUUUGGUUUGGUGAUAAUUCCCUCUCACAAUCUGCAGCGACUGUUUUCUGUUUCAUGGGCUUCCGGGUAAGUUGCUUGGUGGAUGACCUGGUGUAUUUAAUUUACUGGGCUCUGACUCUGCAGAGGGCGCUAAAUGCUAUGGGCUACGGUGUUCAGAACUGGGUUCUGGAGCCCCCAGGAAUCCCAGCAAGUGUGUUGCUACCAGAAUUCCUUCUCUUCCUGUUCUUUUUGUUUCUGAUUCCUAAGCCCCUUCAAGUCACAUAGAGGAGGCUAUUUGCCAAAUUGUGUGAGCCCAUUAGUAUGUCAAUCAUGAUACCUUCCAAGUGCUUGCCGCUUUGUACAUUCCAAAACACUUUCAUGCAAAGCAACCCUUGGAAUGGUUUUAGAAUUCCUGUUAUAUAGAUUGGAAGAUAUUUUUAUUUCCAUUUCAUACAUUGGGAAACUGAGGCUCAAAGGCCAUAACACAGGAGAGGCAUAGAAAAAGUCUCGCUCCAGGCCUCUUGACAUGUGAGCAAGUGCCCUGCCGGACAUAUGUGCUUCCUCCCUGGAUUUUCAUUAAUUUUUUUGGAAACUUGGUAUUGUCAUUGAGUGAGCUGAGGUGGUGAGGGAGGCUUACUCUUGUCCUUUAACAUUAGCUUUUCAAUAAUGCUGAAGAUGAUGAUGAUAAUGACAAAUCGCCUAUAAGAUAUGCCCAUUCAGAAGUCUCUUGUGUAGUUCCCAGCAUUUCAAGGAAUUCAUUAAAAACUGACAUGAACCCCAGGUGACCUCAGGUCUCCUAAUGUGCCAAUCAUUCAUCUAAGGAAACAGAACUAAAUUACUUGUACCUGAAAGAAAGCCUUUUGCAAAACAAGAGUAUAUACGCACUCUCACCGGAGCCCAGCAGUUACAUUCAACGGUGGCAGUUAUUAUAAAUGGCUAUAUUCCUACGGCAACCCUGGAGAAAGAAAGAAAAUUGUGCAACCAAUUUAAUGAGGUGUGUGUGUAAGAGGGAUGGUUAGCAAUUUGUCUUUAACAAUCUUGUUAUACAGCAAGAGGCUCUAAGGGGAAAGAGAGAAAGAGAGAGACCGGGAGUCAAUGCUCUAUUUUCUAACAAUUCUCAAGAGAGAGGAGAUAAAGACCAAGAGAAUUCACUGAGCAAAUGUUUUCUUUGUGGCAACAAAUGCAGGCUUCGUGCUUGCAGAACCACUAGGCACUAUGUAACGAGAAGGGUUAUAAAUCUGGAUGUAACGAAGGUUUCACCCCAGUGGUAAUAGAGUUAGAGGGUGAAAGGUUGCAUCUUGUUCAACCUUCUCUGGAAUCGUUUUCUAUAAUGCUGGCAAGUAAUUUUGUGGCAUUUCUGGAUGCUUAACUGAAUAAAAAGAAAUACUUAUUUGGUACUGGAACCACUAUUAGCAAGGUGGGCAGUUGAGAAUCUACCUAAGUAUCCAGUAAUGUUAAAAUGAAAUGGCAGAAAACCAUUUUAAUUGCAUCAUCUAGUGCCUCUAGACAUGUGGGCACUUGUGUUCCCGGUGGUGACACACAAUAUGGAGAGAUAUUUAAUUGGGCACUUUUGAAAAGAGAGCCCCUCUCAACAGGGACUACAUCUUGGGCUUGUGCUUAGAAGACAUUCAGCUCAAGAGCUGCCCUGGUGCACAUUUCCUCUGCCCCUUUGGUUGCCUUUAGGUUCAUCAAGUUCUAAUUAGUUAUUCUUUAGUUAAUUCAGAAAUGAAACCUUUAUUGAGCAAUUACUAUGUUUCUGGCCUUAUUCUAGAUUCAAUGAUGUUUAGAAAGAUUUUUACAACACAGUUUGCUGUUAGUCUAGACUUUUUGCUCCCUAGUGAAAGGGAACUUUUGGCAGCAUCAAGAGGUAAUUCAGUAGGAUUCUAUCUCUUCAACUUCAUAAUCUCCAUUGUUUCCCAAAACCAAUUCUAAUAUUAAAAACAAUACAAUGUUUUAUCAACGUUAAGAUGCCCUCUAUUGUUAAAAAAAACUGUUAUUUUAUGUACCACUUGCAUAAAGAAAAAAUAUCUAAGAUGGGAGGUCUAAUAGGAGACCUCUUCAUAGGCAGGACACCAAAGAGCUACGCACUCGGUGAAAGGGGUAAGGAAAAUUCUCCAGCAGGGCCAGCAAGGAAACUUGCAUGUCUCAGCCUUGGGCCUCUGCAGAGGGAAGAAAAUACAAGUCUCUGUGAGAAUCUGAGCCAUAAUCUAAUACAGAUGGAGCAUCCUUAAUCUGAAAAUUCAAAAUCCUAAAUUCUCCAAAAUCCAAAACUUCUUGAGCUCCAACAUGAUACCACACGAGGCAAAUUCUACACCGGACGUCACACAAUAGGCUCCAGUCAAAAUGUUAUCAAAACUGUUUUGUGUACAAAACUAUUAAAAAUAAUGCAGAAAAUUACCUUCACACUGUGUGUCUAAGGUGUAUAGGAAAUGAAUUUUAUGUUUAGAUUUGAGUCCCACUCCCAAGAGAUCUCAUUAUGUAUGUACAAAUAUUCCAGAAUCUGAAAAAAUCUGCAAAGCAAAACACUCCUGGUCCCAAGCAUUUUGGAAAAGGGACACUCAACCUGCCAACCUGUAGUCACACAGGUCUAAAGUCUGAAUUUACACCAUUGGUGGGGUCCAAUAAUUCUCAAGCAGAGAAAUCAAUUUCCAGUGGGCUUAAGUAAGUUUGGCAGAAACAAAUGCAGAAUCCUUUCUGGAAGAAUUCGACUUCAUUUCAAGCCCACAGAUUAUAAAAACGUAUUGAUUACGUGAUACACUCUGAUUUUAGGGAUUAUGAAAAUGUGAGAAUAAUGUGCAUCUAAGAAUUGAUGAACAGUGAUAGUAAUAAUAAUGCUUUUCAUGACUAGUAUAUUAAUAUAAUUUUAUGUAAUUAUUAUUCUUUCCAUUUGCUAUGGACAGUGAAAUUUUUCUGAAUCUUCUGUAAACUGUGAAUAAAAGCAUUUUAAG